AACCUGGGAGGCAGAGGUUGCAGUGACCCGAGAUUGCGCCAUUGCACUCCAGCCUGGGUGACAGAGCAAGACGCCGUCUCAAAAAAUAAAAAUAAAAAAUAAAAAAGUCCAGAUACCCAGGCUUACACUGGACCAACUAAAACGAUCUUGAGGUGGGAGCCAGUGUCUCUCUCACCCAGGCUGGAGUGCAGGGGCGCCAUCUCGGCUCACUGCAACCUCUGCCUCCCAGGUUCAAGCCAUUCUCCCACCUCAGCCUCCCAAGUAGCUGGGAUUACAGGCGUGAGCCACCGCGCCCAGCGUAAGAGCCGCUUACAGAGUCUUCUUUUCUAGAGCAGUGCUUCUGAAAUGUGGCCUUGGGUCAGGCACGUACCCAUCACCUGGGAACUUGUUUGAAAGGCACAUUUUUGAGCCCCACCCUAGACUGAAUCAGAAACUCUGGGCCCAGCAACUAUGUUUUAACAAGUCCUCAGUGUAAUUCUGAAGCGCAUUAAAUUCUGAGAACCUCUGUUCUGAAAGUACGAGGGCUGCAGGCCCAGGCGACUCAAGAUUCCUUUCCUGAGAUUGACACCCUCAUGCCACAGCCCCAUUGGUAGAUGCCGGAUAUUUUGGCCAAGGGAGAUGGGGGAUUCUGAACAGGGUUGUGGACCACGGGUCCUUCCCUGGCAGACCAGUAUGUAGAGAUCAGCAAAGGUUGUCAUUUUCAAACAGGGUUGACCCAGAGGGUCAGGGAUAACAUUGAGAAAACAGACUUGAGUUAUACAACCUGGGGUAGUUCAGCCACUCAAGGGAACCUCCUGAGUGUGUCGACUUUUUGACUUGAGGAAGGAGAGAGAUUUAGAGAUUGCCACUGAGGUCCAGAGACAGAGCUCUGGGUUGAAGGACAGGGAUCCAGAGAUACACAGAGUGGUGACGGGGAGGCCCAGAGAGGGGAACAGAAAGAGCAAAAUCUCAGACAGGACCUAGAAAGUCAGAGGGAGACCCAGAUAGCAUGAGCUGGAGAGAGGGAGGGAGAGAGAGAGAGGGAAGGUGGAGAGAGGGAGGGAGAGAGGGAAGGUGGAGAGAGGGAGGGAGGGAGGGAGAGA
rnacentral:lncRNA from 1 species